rnacentral:rRNA from 1 species
AUUGAACGCUGGCGGCAGGCUUAACACAUGCAAGUCGAGCGGGGUGAUGGUGCUUGCACUAUCACUUAGCGGCGGACGGGUGAGUAAUGCUUAGGAAUCUGCCUAUUAGUGGGGGACAACAUCUCGAAAGGGAUGCUAAUACCGCAUACGUCCUACGAGAGAAAGCAGGGGAUCACUUGUGACCUUGCGCUAAUAGAUGAGCCUAAGUCGGAUUAGCUAGUUGGUGGGGUAAAGGCCUACCAAGGCGACGAUCUGUAGCGGGUCUGAGAGGAUGAUCCGCCACACUGGGACUGAGACACGGCCCAGACUCCUACGGGAGGCAGCAGUGGGGAAUAUUGGACAAUGGGGGGAACCCUGAUCCAGCCAUGCCGCGUGUGUGAAGAAGGCCUUAUGGUUGUAAAGCACUUUAAGCGAGGAGGAGGCUCUUUUGGUUAAUACCCAAGAUGAGUGAACGUUACUCGCAGAAUAAGCACCGGCUAACUCUGUGCCAGCCGCCGCGGUAA